AUAUGGAUCAACUGUACACAGAUAAAUGGCACCACUGUUUCAAUAUUGACAGAUUCCUCUCCGUGUUACGUGCUGUGCCAGAAGCAUAGUGGUACAGCUACUCCAGAUCCUCCUAGAUGGUGUGAGUUGUGCGGAACGUGCAAGAAUGGGAAGUGCGAGAUUUUGCCAGACUGCAAAUAAUGAAAUAACACUAAGCGUUGAAGCUCCCAAACAGGAUAAUAAAUAUCCUGUAUGUUCA